CCCGGGGAGCCGGCUGAGCACCCCCGGGCCCGCUCCAACACUCCCGGAGUGCCCGGACACCGCCCGGGCACAGGGAGGGAUUGCUGGGUGUCUGAGCCGGGCCAGGAGCGGGAUCGAUGAUCCCUGGGGGUCCCUUCCCGCUGAGGAUAGUCUGUGAUUCCAGAAUCUUUCUGCUGCUGAGAGUCUUCCCACGGAUGCAGAAAUCCCCAUCCCAGGAACCCAGCCCUAUAAACUUCCCAAGAACCCAGCUCUACAGACAUCCCAUCACAUUGAACCCCCCAGUUUACACCACAGCAACUGGUUUAUUCUCCCCCAGCUCCUGAAGGAGGCAAACAAGGGCAGUGCCUCAGAUCUCUGCAUGAAAACUGGCCUGGAUCCAAAUUAUUAUAAACCAGCUCUUCAUCCAUUUUUAAUGAACCUCUUGGGCUCCAGCUUUGGAUGUUUUAAUUCAAAGCAUGUCUGCAGCAGGGAAAAAUCUCCGGGACACGCUGCUCCAGAUGCACACACGGUGACUAAGCACUCCCGAGGAGCCAGGAACGCACACUGGGAGCUGAGUUUUACUGGAUUUUAGGGAAAAAUGUAAUACAAGGCUUUUUUAUGUGCUGGUAAAUUAAGGUCAUAAGGCUGAGAGAGCUGCUGGGCAAUUGCAGUGGGGUGAUGUGGGGUGGGAAUCACCCAGGAAAGCUUUGAUUAAAGGAGGAAAAGCA